rnacentral:rRNA from 1 species
AGUGAACGCUGGCGGUAGGCCUAACACAUGCAAGUCGAACGGCAGCACAGUAAGAGUUUGCUCUUACGGGUGGCGAGUGGCGGACGGGUGAGGAAUACAUCGGAAUCUACUUUUUCGUGGGGGAUAACGUAGGGAAACUUACGCUAAUACCGCAUACGACCUACGGGUGAAAGCAGGGGAUCUUCGGACCUUGCGCGAUUGAAUGAGCCGAUGUCGGAUUAGCUAGUUGGCGGGGUAAAGGCCCACCAAGGCGACGAUCCGUAGCUGGUCUGAGAGGAUGAUCAGCCACACUGGAACUGAGACACGGUCCAGACUCCUACGGGAGGCAGCAGUAGGGAAUAUUGGACAAUGGGCGCAAGCCUGAUCCAGCCAUACCGCGUGGGUGAAGAAGGCCUUCGGGUUGUAAAGCCCUUUUGUUGGGAAAGAAAAGCAGCAGGUUAAUACCCCGCUGUUCUGACGGUACCCAAAGAAUAAGCACCGGCUAACUUCGUG